rnacentral:misc_RNA from 1 species
CGGCAAUCAUCUUCCUUCAAACACAAACCCUAAUAACCUCUCUCUUAGCAACUCGACGCCGGCCAAAUCGGUAAAGGAUUCGAGAAAAUAUCGCAUCGUACCACCAUUGUUCGCCGAAUCCAUCAGCUUGUCGUCUCCCUCAAGCACGAGUUCCAAAUGUGCCAUUUCUGCUGACUCUACUGUGAGAUUCGAAGCAUCUUCAUCUCUCCCUCGCUUUAGUUGGUUGCCCCCGAGAAAGGGUUUCGACGUGGCUUCAAUCUCAUCUGUUCCUUCUUCCAAUGGCUUCUAGCUCUCAUAGAGGUGGUGAUUUCUACGGUGCUGCUUCCCACAGAUCCAGAGAUGGAUUGAGUACAAGGGCAGUAGGUGGUUCAGAUGAAAUACAGUUGCGAAUUGAUCCCAUGCAUGGAGACCUGGAUGAUGAGAUCACAGGUCUUCGCAAGCAAGUAAAACAGCUCAGAAAUGUAGCACAAGAAAUUGAGUCGGAAGCAAAGUAUCAGAAUGAUUUUAUUAGCCAACUGCAAAUGACAUUGAUCAAAGCUCAGGCAGGAGUAAAGAACAACAUGAGACGGUUGAACAGGAGUAUCAUCCAGG